rnacentral:rRNA from 1 species
GACGAACGCUGGCGGCGUGCUUAACACAUGCAAGUCGAACGGAAAGGCCCUGCUUUUGUGGGGUGCUCGAGUGGCGAACGGGUGAGUAACACGUGAGUAACCUGCCCUUGACUUUGGGAUAACUUCAGGAAACUGGGGCUAAUACCGGAUAGGAGCUCCUGCUGCAUGGUGGGGGUUGGAAAGUUUCGGCGGUUGGGGAUGGACUCGCGGCUUAUCAGCUUGUUGGUGGGGUAGUGGCUUACCAAGGCUUUGACGGGUAGCCGGCCUGGGAGGGUGACCGGCCACAUUGGGACUGAGAUACGGCCCAGACGCCUACGGGAGGCAGCAGUGGGGAAUAUUGCACAAUGGGCGGAAGCCUGAGGCAGCAACGCCGCGUGCGGGAUGACGGCCUUCGGGUUGUAAACCGCUUUCGCCUGUGACGAAGCGUGAGUGACGGUAAUGGGUAAAGAAGCACCGGCUAACUACGUG